GGCAACCCUGACGGAGCAAUACCGCGUGAGGGAGGAAGGCCUUUGGGUUGUAAACCUCUUUUCUUAAGGAAGAAGCUCUGACGGUACUUAAGGAAUCAGCAUCGGCUAACUCCGUGCCAGCAGCCGCGGUAAUACGGAGGAUGCAAGCGUUAUCCGGAAUUAUUGGGCGUAAAGCGUCCGCAGGCGGCGUUAUAAGUCUGCUGUCAAAGACCGCAGCUCAACUGCGGAGAGGCAGUGGAAACUGUAAAGCUAGAGUACGGUAGGGGUAGAGGGAAUUCCCAGUGUAGCGGUGAAAUGCGUAGAGAUUGGGAAGAACACCAGUGGCGAAAGCGCUCUACUGGGCCGUAACUGACGCUCAGGGACGAAAGCUAGGGGAGCG
rnacentral:rRNA from 1 species